UUCAGAGUAGCUCAGUGGAAGAGCGGUGGGCCCAUAACCCACAGGUCGACGGAUCGAAACCUCCCUCUGAAA